rnacentral:misc_RNA from 1 species
UUAAGUUCAGCGGGUAGUCCUACCUGAUUUGAGGUCAAAUUUGUCAAAUGUUUGUUGUUAUAAGCGGUGCUGACCAGCAUUACCAAAGGCAUAGAUAGAUUUAUCACACCAAUAGCAGCUCAGAUCACCACUAAUGCAUUUCAGGGGAGCCAGCUUUCAUUAGAAAGAAAGACCUGCAAAACCCCCACAUCCAAGCGACA